AGCGAACGUUAGCGGCGGGCCUAACACAUGCAAGUCGAACGCGAAAGGUCUUCGGACUGAGUAGAGUGGCGCACGGGUGAGUAACACGUAGGUAAUCUACCCUUUGGCGGGGGAUAACGUUCCGAAAGGAGCGCUAAUACCGCAUAAGACCACGGAGUCUCCGGACGCUGUGGGAAAAGGUGGCCUCUUCUUGAAAGCUACCACCGAAGGAUGAGCCUGCGUCCCAUCAGCUAGUUGGUAAGGUAAUGGCUUACCAAGGCGAAGACGGGUAGCUGGUUUGAGAGAAUGAUCAGCCACACUGGCACUGGAACACGGGCCAGACUCCUACGGGAGGCAGCAGUGAGGAAUAUUGGGCAAUGGGCGAAAGCCUGACCCAGCCACGCCGCGUGAGUGGUGAAGGCCCUCGGGUCGUAAAGCUCUGUGGAGAGGGACGAAAACCCUGGUUUCAAAUAGGCUCCAGGCUUGACGGUACCUCUUUAGCAAGCACCGGCUAACUCUGUGCCAGCAGCCG
rnacentral:rRNA from 1 species